rnacentral:misc_RNA from 1 species
ACCCAUGAUUACGAGGUGAAGAUGCGGGCCAUGAACCGCUUUUUCGAUGAGGGCGACAAGGUCAAGGUGACCUUGCGUUUCCGUGGCCGUGAGAUGGCCCAUAUGGAACUGGGCAUGAAACUGCUCAACAAGGUCAGAGACGACACCGUCGAGAUCGCCAAGGUCGAAGCCGAGCCGAAGCUUGAAGGCCGUCAGAUGAUGAUGGUGCUGGCGCCGAAGUAACAGCUUCACCCGUCCGAUGCAGACCGGUCCGGCUGAUGCCUGGCCGGUUUUUGCUUUAAUCGGGAUGAAUCCUUGCAAUGCCCGUUGCGCUUUUGCCAAGCCGGA